CGGGCACCUCCAUCUGUCCCCUCCCAUGCAGAUGUCCUGCAGAUCUACGCUGAGGCCCAAGGCAGCUCCUGCAGGGGCGCCCCUCCAGGGAGCUCUGACCAAGCAGACAUCCUGACGGUCUACUCAGCUGCAGAGGGCUAUGUGGCCUAUCGCGAUGACAAGGGCUCAGACUUUAUCCAGACACUGGUGGAGGUCCUCAGAGCCAAUCCCGAGAAAGACCUUCUGGAGCUGCUGACUGAGGUCAACAGGCGGGUGUGUGAGCAGGACGUGCUGGGCCCCGACUGCGAUGAGCUCCGCAAG